CACACAGGUACCUUUUAACAAGGUCAAGAGCUUCGGGCAGCUGGUCGCCACACAGGUACCUUUUAACAAGGUCAAGCUACUGAAGGGGGUGCAAGAAAAAGAUGUGACCCGAGGUCAACUUGCACUGUUCAAGGACAUGCUGAAAACCCUAACAAGCAGCAUUAAAGAGGAAGCUGGAUUGUGGGAUAUGGCCACCAUGGCCUUGGUUACAAGCUGUUGGACGUAUUCCAAGGCCUGUUCAUGGCAUGUGCUGAUGCACAAACUGAAGCACUUAAAGGCAGCUCUGAGACAUACAGUGAGCACACCACAAUAAUGCAAUAACUUCAUUUCCAGAUGACUGGCUGCCUGAUGACUGACAGAUGACCGAUGACACCCCUUCAUCAGACUGAGAGAUAUCCUGUGGACAGUCCUCCAGAGCGAGGAGCUCUGAAACCUUUUGGCACACACACA